CGCGAUAGGCCAAGAUUUCUGGAAUGAAUCAUGGUUUAAAUCUAUAUGGCCCCUGGAUUGGACUGCGGCCGAUCAGGCUGUUGGUGAGGUAAUGGCCCACCAAACCUGUAACCGGUACGGGCUCUGAGAGGAGGAGCCCGGAGAUGGGCACUUAGACAAGGGCCCAGGCCCUAUGGGGCGCAGCAGGCGCGAAACCUCUGCAAUAAGCGAAAGCUUGACAGGGUUACUCUGAGUGAUUUCCGCUAAGGAAGUCUUUUGGCACCUCUAAAAAUGGUGCAGAAUAAGGGGUGGGCAAGUCUGGUGUCAGCCGCCGCGGUAAUACCAGCACCCCGAGUGGUCGGGACGAUUAUUGGGCCUAAAGCAUCCGUAGCCGGUCCUGCAAGUCCUCCGUUAAAUCCACCCGCUCAACGGUUGGGCCGCGGGGGAUACUACAGGGCUAGGAGGCGGGAGAGGCAAGCGGUACUCGAUGGGUAGGGGUAAAAUCCACUGAUCCAUUGAAGACCACCAGUGGCGAAGGCGGCUUGCCAGAACGCGCUCGACGGUGAGGGAUGAAAGCUGGGGGAGCAAACCGGAUUAGAUACCCGGGUAGUCCCAGCUGUAAACGAUGUAGACUCGGUGAUGGGCUGGCUUCGUGCCAACCCGGUGCCGCAGGGAAGCCGUUAAGUCUGCCGCCUGGGGAGUACGGUCGCA
rnacentral:rRNA from 1 species